rnacentral:tRNA from 1 species
UGGUCGGGAUAGCUCAGCUGGUAAAGCAAAGGACUGAAAAUCCUCGUGCCACC